rnacentral:rRNA from 1 species
AUGGCGGCACACGAGCAGGAGAAGCAGCAGGACGAUGAUGCCUCGGCACAGAGGUCGCCGUUGCCACACAAAGUCGUCAUGGAAAUCCUUGCCUACCUGCCGGCCAAGUCCGCGGGGCGCUUUCGCUGCGUCUCGCGUUCGUGGCAGGCCACUCUCUCGUCGCCGCGCUUCUUCGAGCUCCACCUCCGGUGGGCGAACCACAGUCCGUCGCCGCCGGCCGGCCAAAGCUCUUCUUCAGUCUCACGAAAGAGCCCUCGGACGACUACUUCUUUUACGCCUGGCAGCCCGGCGGCGCGGCAACGAAGCUGA